GAUGAACGCUGGCGGCGUGCCUAACACAUGCAAGUCGAGCGAUUCUCUUCGGAGAAGAGCGGCGGACGGGUGAGUAACGCGUGGGUAACCUGCCUUGUACACACGGAUAACAUACCGAAAGGUAUGCUAAUACGAGAUAAUAUGCUUUUAUCGCAUGGUAGAAGUAUCAAAGCUCCGGCGGUACAGGAUGGACCCGCGUCUGAUUAGCUAGUUGGUAAGGUAACGGCUUACCAAGGCGACGAUCAGUAGCCGACCUGAGAGGGUGAUCGGCCACAUUGGAACUGAGACACGGUCCAAACUCCUACGGGAGGCAGCAGUGGGGAAUAUUGCACAAUGGGCGAAAGCCUGAUGCAGCAACGCCGCGUGAGCGAUGAAGGCCUUCGGGUCGUAAAGCUCUGUCCUCAAGGAAGAUAAUGACGGUACUUGAGGAGGAAGCCCCGGCUAACUACGUG
rnacentral:rRNA from 1 species